UACAGAGGGUGCGAGCGUUAAUCGGAAUUACUGGGCGUAAAGGGUGCGUAGGUGGUUAUUUAAGUUAGAUGUGAAAUCCCUGGGCUUAACCUAGGAAUGGCAUUUAAGACUGGAUAGCUGGAGUACAGAAGAGGGAAGUGGAAUUUCCGGUGUAGCGGUGAAAUGCGUAGAUAUCGGAAGGAACACCAGUGGCGAAGGCGACUUCCUGGUCUGUUACUGACACUGAGGCACGAAAGCGUGGGGAGCAAACAGG
rnacentral:rRNA from 1 species